GGUUAAGACCGACGCAGAAAAAAAAGUGGGAUGAAAAAAUGGAAACCUUUGAUGCCACUAGAUCAGUUUCUUCUGCCAGUCCCUGUCUCCAUCACUGCCACGUCAGCUGGUCCCAAGGUUGGGAAGUCGUCCAAACAUCUGGCCCCUCCACCAUGUCCUCUAAGAAUCUCCUGGUGUGGACAGACGACCGAGGAGGACAAAGGAUGUUUACCUCAACCAUUGCUGUGGGAGCUGUCCGGUGCUGAACAUGCAGAGACCCUUUCCUCUUAUUAGACGUCGUACACCAACUCCACAGCUUUUUCCAGCACAUUUCAAUUAGCGUAUGUUCCGUCUCCGGGCUGAGGCUCCAUGAGAGGCCGUGGGGGCAGGAUACUGGAGGAGUUAUGAUCUAACGAGUGGCAGAGACAGUCGCUUUAUCCUGAGACAGCAAGAGAACACCUUCAUGGCCAAUCGGGUCCGGCUAAUGAGACAAGAUGGGCCAGGACCGUGGCACAACCAUUACAGCCACAGUCUGUCAGCACUUUGAGGGCAGGCUCUACUUUCUAAUGCAGCAGCAGAGUGUGAAGGAGCAGCAGAGGGUGACGCAGGAGCCGCUGAACAUGCUGUACGGCAGCCUGGUGGAUUCCUUUCAACUUUGAAGAUUUUGGUUAUCAGUGGAUGCCAGACUCUGAGGCUGUACAGUCCUGAUAUGAAAUUCCAAUUUGGUCCUGUGGUGCUCUACAUCCACACCCAGCUCUGAGCCAUAUGCAUGACAUGAUUCCCCUGCUCACCUGCGACAUAUCGGAGCUGAAUCCUCAAACAGCUGAUUGUGGAUCAGUGUCCCUCCUUCACUCACUCAGGUUAUUUUAGCACUUGUUAAUGUUCUUUUGCACUACUUUUUUCACUGGCAGUGAAUGUCUCUGCAUUUCAUUAUUGUUAGAAAAUAGACGAACUCUCUCCUCUACUCUCUGUAGCGUUGAU